CUUGGCAUGCAAAGGAAGAAAAGUGGAGCUCCUGGCAGGACGCCAGCUGUUCUCCCUCUCACUGACUUGCCCUCUCAGUUUGCCGCGGAGAAAAGAACGUGCUUCCCCUACAGUCUACUAGCACUCAUCUGCUAUCUCCCUACCCUUCCCCCUCUCCUGGAGUGCACAGCCUGACUCAUUAGUCACGGGCCAGGGCCGGAUGUGCUGCAAAAGGUGGGGUAGAUUUUUUUUUUUUUCUCCCCUCCUCUCUCUUUUGUCUCCUUCUGGGCUUGUGCCCCUGUCAUGGACUCAGAUCCAGAGAUAACUCCAUGACGUAUUUAUUUAUGUUAAUAUAAAUUAAUAUUGUAUACAAAUAUAUAUGUUUUCCUUGUGGUAAUGCUGAUGGUUUUGACCCCCCCCCCCUUAGUUUUAUAGAAUAGCAAGUUUUCAUAAUCUGAUGAGUAGAAAUGGAAAACAAAGGGAAAGAAAGUCGUUGGACAGUCAAACAAUUGAUGGAGAAUGGAAAUUAAGAUUUAACUGUGCAGAAGCAACAUGAGGAGAAAAUUAAGCUUUGGGAUGUUAAGCUUUGUUAAGCUUUGGGAUGAGAUGUCUAGGCAGUUUCUUGAGGUUUUACAAGUUUUAACUUUUAUUUAAAGGUUGUUUUUGUUUGUUGUUUUUUAAAUAAGCUGAAAAAAUGGCUUCUUGUUUUUAUAAAAACUAUGAAGUUUUCCUCUGCUCUCAAUUAGAAGACUUGGGGAGCUACAGGAGAGAAGACAGGAGCUUUAGCAGGGUCUGUGGUAAUAGGACUAGGGGAAGUGAUCUCAAACUUGAAGAGGAUACAUUUAGGUUGGAUACAAAAAAAAAAAAAAAAAAAAAAAAAAAAGUCUUUUACAGUGAGGGUGUUGAGGCAUUGGAACAGGAUGUCCAGAGAUGUGAUUGAUGCCCUGUCCCUGGAGACUUUCAAGGCAAGGCACUAAUAACAGCAACACUGAAGACAUAUCUCUUAAAUGUUUCCAUAAAUGACUUUGAGGACUCAAAGGCAUGCCAAGCAAGUCUGAAGAUAACAUUAAAUUGGGAAAAGCACCUAGGAUGAGGAAACUCUAGAUGUAUUCAUAGACUGGAGAAUGAGGCAGGAGGGGAGUCCCAUGGCAAAGGAUCUGGGGGUUCUGGUUGGUGGCAAGAUGAAUAUGAGUCAGUAGUGUGCGCUGGUAGCCAAAAAGGCAAAUCAUACCUCAUGAUGUAUCAGGCAUAUAUCUGCUAGCAGCUCAAGGAUUGUUUCACUCUGCUGUGAGCUGGUGGGACUCCACCUUCAGCAUUAUGCACAGUUUUGUCUGCCACUAUAAGAGAAUAAAGUAUGUAUCAUAUAUUAACAAUUAGAAAGCCUCCAAAGAAGGGCUACAAAAAUGGUGAAGGAUCUGGACAGCAUGAUAAAUGAAAAGUGGCUGAGUUCCCUUUGUUUGUUCAAACCAGAGAAGACAAGAUUGAGGGAAGUGACCUGCAGCUUUCUCAUGAGAGGAGCAGGGAGGAAGAAGCUGAUUCCUCCUUUCUGAUGACAGCAAUAGGACCUCAGGAAAUGUCAUGAAGCUGUGUCAAAAGAGGUUCAAAAUAAAUUUUAGGAAAAGGUUCUUCGCUAAGGUAGCAGUGUCCCACUGGAAUAACUGGCAAUAGUUAUGGUCCCAAACCUACUGGAGUUCAAGGAACAUAUGGACAGUGCUCUUAGACAUACAGUUUGAAUUUUAGGUAGUUUUUUUUUUUUUUGCAAAGCCUAGAAUUUAACUCUGUGAUCCUUGUGAUUGCUUCCAACACAGAAUAUGAUAUUAUUCAAUAAUUCUUUUUGAUAUCGUUGGUCCUUGAAAGCAGAGAAACAGCUUCUGAACAGUUGUGAUACCAGGCAAAGCAUCAUUAAGAAUAACAGUAAUUAUAUAUAGAAAAGUGUUGACUCACCCAACUGGUUUUAAGGCUCUCUGACUAUAGAACACCACUUCACAGGAAAAAAAAAAAAAAAAAAAAAAAAAAAAAAAAAAAAGCCUUCACCCAGGAGACUUUUUCCAUUUAGAAGUUAGCCCUUAAAUAAUCAUGUGAGAAGCACGGGUUAAUUGCUUGCACCCGUGCUUCCUGGGCCAGUUAUCCACUUCACAGGGUGCUCAAUCAUCAUUUCAGAUCAUGACAUAACAGUACACCUGCAGAUAUUAACAACCCAAAUUAUAAUAAAAGACAAAAACAAACAAACAAACAAAACAGCAAAUAAGUCAGCUGAACAAAAACACAGUCUAGGUGUUUGGACAUUCAAUUGAUUUUUUGAUUUUAGGAUUUGUGAACAUGGUAUGGAGAAUUCAAAUAUCCUAACGGCAUAUUUUGAUUAAAAAAAAAAAACAAAAAAAAAAACCUUGCUAAUAAUUAUGUUAUCUGUUUGUAUCCACAUUAUUUCCUAAAUAAUUUCCAAGGUCACUUUUGGUUUCAGACUAAUUCUAGCACCUGAUCUUGUUGAGAAAUUUAUACUUCCAAAACUUACAUUAAACAUAGUAUCUGCAUUAUUUUUAUAUACUGGUACUCAUCUUGAACUCAGCCUGUUAGUACUUCUCACAUAUUAAGCUUAUUGUGAUGCCAGAAUGCUUCUGAUGAGAAUGUAUGUUCGUUCGCUGUUGAACUGUGUAAAGGUAAACUUUGAAUUCCAGUACAUAUUAAAUGUCCCUGAGUGUCUCUUAAGAUAUUCAUUAGCAUUUCAUUGCUAAUCUCAAGCCUUCCCAAAAUCAAAUAAUAGUCUGAUCUGCUACUUCGCACUUAAGGUAAUUUUGGAUGCUUCUGUACACAUGUGAAAAAUGUCAUGAACACUGAACUUUCUAUUACAGCAAAUGAAUUCCCUUUAGACAGUUUGUACUACCUGAAAAAUAUAUUCAGUAUUUCAAACAUCAGAACCUACUCAUUUUGAAUAAUCUAGUCUUUUCACAUUAGCCAACCUUGUGUCAUCCCAUAAGUACUUGCAAUUUUCAGUUUUCUCCUCCAUACUCCUGCAGGGUGGGGGAGUGAGUGUAUGGCUGUGAUUAACCGUCUGCUGGGUAAAGCCACAACAGCUCAGUUUUUUGAAAGAUAGUCAAUUUUGCUGUCUUUGUUUUCUUUAUGCACAUUAUGUUAGAUAUAGAUAUACUGUAUAAAUCACUACAGAUGAGAAAUAUGAGCAUACCAAAGGUGAAUGUUGUAGUAGCAAAUUUCAAAAAUGCAGUUAUAAUUAAACUGAAGCAAACCAAUUAAUUGGCAGAUUUUACAGAAACAACCUCACCUCCACUUCAGUCACAACAGGAUAAAUUAUACAAACUGAAAUCAACUAAUAAUGGAGAAAGCCUGUGGUAUGAUAGAUAUCCAAAUGGCAAAUAGAGAUUAAAGAAUUUUUGUACCCUUUUCUUGGAUGAAGUAAAUUCUUCAAUCAAAUGUUAACUGUUUGUAGGAAAAAAACAAAAAACAAACAAAAAAAAACAGAUGAGUAUUUUAUAUACACACAUUUCUCAACUGAUUUAAAAUCUGCUACAUCAUAGCUGUUUCGUAACUGUCAUAAUACUGUAAGUGAAAUUUUAUAUUAAAUGACAAAGAUCCUGGAAAUCAUUAACACAACAGCUAUGACAAUAUCAAAAUAAAUACUAUUCUUUAUACUGAAAUUUAUGAAGCUGUGUUUCUGAAACAAUACUCAGAGAGCAUCUCUGUGCUCUAUCAGGGCUGUUGAUAAAGAAUGAACUAAAUCUACACUGAACUUCACCAUAAAGACUACGCUUCUUGCAAGAGCACAUGGGUAUCUCCUGUUCUGCAGCACACUGUUAGCUGCUGGUAAGAAAAACAUACCUCUGUAGAAAGUAGUCUAUUGUGAGUGAUUAGUCAUUUAAGUGUGUGGCCUUCUUUUUCUGAUUUUCAGUCUACAACAGUAAAGACUCUUGUUUUAGCACGAGUUCCACAUAAAUAACCUGUACUGUUUUUUUGUUGUUGUUGUUGUUGUUUUGUUUUGUUUUGUUUUUUUGCAUGGUAUUUUUCUCUUAGACCUUCAUUGUGUUACAUGCAUAUAUACACAAAAAAGUUUGCUACAGAGUUUUCUGUAGAGAUCACCACCAGCUGAGAAAGCAUUAGCCUUGUCACUGUCCAGAAUAUACUGUUGCAAAGAGAAACUGCACGUACUCUGGGUUUACUAAUUUAAAGUAAGCAUUAGCUAGUACUCUGAAUCAAAACAUCAUCAUAGAAUAUCACUCUUACUGUCCUCAUCCCAAUUAGUAUUUGAUUACACAUUUCUUUAUUCUAAUACAACAUUCUGCUCCAGUUCAAAUAAAUAAAUCAGACUUCCUUUUCAGUAAUUAACAAAUUGAAAAACAGCAAAUUGCAGCAAAAUGAUUUAUUUCUUUUAGUCAUUGCCCCCAAGAAAUUAUGAUCAAUUUACUGUCCACAGGAGAGCUUACUGUAACUGAAAAGUAUACCUGAGACAUGAAACACAUACAGAUUUUCUCAAAGAAGUUUUACGUCGUCAUGUUCCUCAUUCGUAUGACUUAACAAAAGAGACAGAGAGUCUCUAUGCACUCAAAUCCCUGAACUAUGCACACAAAUUCCUGAACCCCAAUGGGAUGCACCCACGAGUGCUCAGGGAGCUGAAAGAAGUGAUUGCAAAACUGCUCUCAUUUUUAAAGAUCAUGGAGAAUUGGAGGGGUGACUGAAGACUGGAGGAAAACCAAUGUCACUCCAGUCUUCAAAAAAGUGAAGGAGGAAUGAGGAAUCUACAGGCCAGUUAACCUCAACAUUAUCCCCGGGGAGAUGAUAGAACAGCUUAUUUUGAAUGUCAUCUCCAAGCAAGUGGAAGAAAAUAAGCUUACCAGGAGCAGUCAACAUGGAUUCACCAAAGGGAAAUCAUGCUUGACAAAUAUGGUAGCCUUCUAUGAUGUCAUGACUCACUGGGUAGAUGAGGGAAAAGCAGUGGAUAUUCAGCAAGUUUUUUUGUUUUGUUUUGUUUUUGUUUCUGUUUUUCAUAGAAGCAUAGAACAUCUUGAGUUAGAAAGGACCCGUAAGAAUUGUCAAGUCCAAGUCUGGGCUCCUCACAGAACCACCCAGAACUCAGACCAUAUGAUGCAUCUGGAACUCUGUCAGCUUGAGGCUGUGACCACUUCCAUGGGGAGCCUGUUUUUUAUCGGUGUCCUCGUACCAAUUCCUGUGACCUGAUAUCCAUGCCCUAGUAGCAGCAUGGAAUUUCAUAUGAUUAAGUAUAGUUUUAGAGUAAGUUUCAUGAACUUCUGAAAAUUGAUUCUGCUGAGAUUUAGAUAACAACAGUAAGCUUAUCUGGGAGGGGUGCAGUCUUCCUCUUCCAUGCUCUCAUAGUAUCUGGAAUAUGACACUGCUUCCAACAAUAUCCUCAUAGGUAAAUUUAGGAAGUGUGGGAUAGAUGAGUGGACAGUAAAGUGCACUGAGAUCAGUAAAGCUCUGAGUGUUGCAAUCAGUGCCCCAGAGCCUAGAUGGAGGCCUGUAGCUAGCAGUGUUUCCCAGGGGUUGGCACUGGGUCCAGUCUUGCAUAAUAGCUUCAUCAGAUGCCUGUCUGAAGGUAGAGAGUGCACCCUCAGCAAGUUAACUGAUCAUACAAAGCUGGGAGGAAUGGCACCUCCAGACAGGUGGCUGUUCAGUGAGACCUGAACAGCCCAGAGGGUUGGAUAGAGAGGAAGCUUAUGAGGUUCAACAAGAUCAAGUGUAGAGUCUUGCAUCUGGGGAGGAGUCAUUUCAUGAGUCUGUAAAGGUUAGAGGAUGGCCUGCUGGAAAGGAGCUCUGCAGAGAAGGACCUCGAUUCUUGUGGGCAACAGGUUUGCCAUGAGCCAGCAAUGCACCCUUGUGGCCAAGAAGGCCAAUAGUAUCCUGAGGUACAUUAAAGAGAACACGGCCAGCAGGUUGAGGCAUAUUCUCCAUCUGACCUAUUCUCUCCUUGCAAAGCCACAUCUGGAGUUGUGUGACAAGAUGUGGGCUCCUCAGUUCAAUAAAAACAUGGAACUUCUAGAGAGAAUCCAGCUGAGGGCCACAAAGAUGAUUAGGUGCCUGGAGCAUCUCCUUUAUAAGUAAAGGCUGAGAAACCUUUGAUUGUUCUGCCUGGGGGAGAGAAGAGUGAUGAGGGAUCUUAUCAAUGCUUAUAAAUAUCUAAGGGAUGGGUGUCAGAACAGUGUGGUCAGCUGCUUUUUGGUGGUUCCCAGAGACAGAAUAAAGGGCAGUGGGUACAAACUGCAACAGAGGAAGUUCCAAAUGAACUUCUUUACUUUGGAGGCUACAGAGAACUGGAAGAAGCUGCCCAAAGGAGUUGUGGAGUCCUUUUCUCUGGAGAUAUGCAAAACCCCCCUGGACACUUUCUUCUGCAACCUACUGUAGAGAACCUGCUUUAGCCAGGGGAUUGGACUAGACGUUCUCCAGAGGUCCCUUCCAAUCCCUAUGAUUCUCUGGUUCUGUGUUAGAUUCACCUUUAUCAGAUGUGUAUCACCAGUUUGAUGAUCUCUCAAACAAAAUCUGUCAAAUGACAACAUAAUUUACAGUGAUAACAUAUGAAAUACCUUGUGACCUCAAUUGGUUUUCUUUGACUAUAAGUUUAACUAGAAUUCAAAUAAACCACCAGGAAACUCUCGUAUCUUUUUAGAGAUUUACCUAUUGCAAAAAAAAAAAAAUGACCUCCUGCUCAACUGUUCUGAUAUAUGCAUAUUAGAGAGUGUCUUUAAGAUAUUUUGAAGACUAAAAAUAUGUAUAUUUACUGUAGAGUUUUUGUAUAUCUUUUUGUUAUUAUCAAAACAAUAAAAAAAUACACAUUCCCAUUUCCAGGUACAAUUUAGAAUAUAAAGCAAGAAAGAAACUAUGUAUUUGAGGAAAUUAAGUGUUAUACAGUACAGAAUCUGGUACAGAAUUGGCACUCUGCAGAAGUCAAGAAUAAUCUCAAAACAUCACAAAAAAAAAAAGAAAAGAAAAAAGAAAAAUAAUAUUUACAAAGUUUUUUGUUUACAGUUUUGCAGUUUAACUUGCGUGCUAAGAAGUAUCGAAUCUAUAGAAAAAAAACGUUUUUACUCUGACCUCUUUCUACAUUGUUUCUGGCUUGUUUGCUUUGUUUAUUUAAAGCACAUCAUACAGACAGCUGAAAGUAGAUCAGUAAACUGUGAAAUGUCUCUGACAGUAUAGUAGGAAGUUCAUUUGAUGUAAUAAGUUGGAGUUGAAAGGUGGUUUUAUAUUUUUUCCUGAAUAUGAACAACUAUUGCCAGUUGCAACUAUUGAGCAUAUGGCUAACCAUUUUUUAUGAAUUUAAUAUCUUUGAUCUGAGAAUAUAUUUCAUCUACAAGAGAAGAAAUCAGACAUAAACAUUAGCUGCAGAAAAAAAUGUGACAGCUUGGUUUAGGGUGGUAAAUAGAAAUUUAUUCUCACACACACACACACACACACACAAAAGAUAAAUAUAAAGCAAGAUGUGCAUCUCUCAAUAAUUUCUUAAGGAAGAAAACACCAUUCCAGUGAUAAAUGAAGUCUUGCUUGCUUAACUGUUGAAUACUAUCAGUUUGUAAAACAGAGAUAGGUAGUGAAGUCUGUGUACAAGACAUUCCUGAAAGCAUUGUUAUUUUACUCUGAACUAUAAAUGUUAAAGUCUUAAUUAAAGAGCUAUGAAAAAGGUGUGAUAUGCUGAAUUAGUUGAUGAAUUGCUUGUUUGAUUAAAGUAUAAUUAAACAGAUUUGUUUUUAUUUCAUAUUCCAUAAAUGAUAAAUGACUCUCAAACUAGUUCCAUAAUUAAGAUACACAUAUAGUAAGUGAAGAGAUUAAUGUUUAAUUAACUAAGGUCUUAACUAUAAUACUUGAGGCGAUAUUCAUUAAGGAAAAUCUACAGUAGUUAUGCUGGGCUGACAGUUUUUUUUUUUUAUGGAGCUUUUGUAUCAAAGAUAUUGUGUAUGAAGAACUAGGAUAAUUUCUGGAACAGCCACAGGGCUUUUUCUUCAAAGAGGUCAUUCAUAGGUAUAGAUUUUUACUUUUUAUAAAUUAUACAUCUGUGCUGAUGAAAAUUUACUGAUUCUAACACUGGGUACCUUAGAUAGCUCCUUGAUCAAAUUAAUCUUGACCAUGAUUAUAUAACUGAAAUAAGAUAAUAUUGAAUUCACUUUUUUUUUUGAGUAAAGGUGAAGAAAUGAUAAAUUCAGUAAGAAUUUUGAAAUUUGGUUUCAUCGUGGUUCAAAAUGAAACCUAAGCAUCAUUCUCUACAAAAGUAAUUUUUUUUUUUGUUGUACUGUAUGGAAACUGUUGAAUCACAGCUUGAACCACUGAUUGACCACCUGAGGCGAGCACUGAGUCAGCUGCAGGGGCACAGAUGAACACAAUUUCACCUGAGUCACCGGAAGGGAAUAUCCUGUCACUGACCAAGAGAGAAGCUGCAUUCUGCAUACAUACUGCCUACCAUAAGAUUCACAGAACACUGCAAAACUGCAAUGAUAAAGAUGAACUUCACUAGAGUGAAAUGCAUAAUCAUAGAAUCACAGAAUCACCAAGAUGGAAAAAUAUCUCCAACAUCAUUUAGUUCACCUAUCACCAAUACUUCCUCACUAAACCAUGUCCUUCAGUAUAUCUAAAUGUUUCUUGAACAUCUCCAGGGUUGAUGACUUCUCCACCUCCCUGGGCAGCCCGUUCCAGUGCCUAACGACUCCUUCAGAGAAGAAGUAUUUCCUAAUAUCCCACCUGAAUCUCCCCUGGUGCAACUUGAGGCCAUUCCCUCUAGUCCAGUUGCUAGUCACAUGGGAGAAGAGUCCAACCCCCACUUCACUACAACCUCCCUUCAGGUAGCUGUAGAAAGCAAUCAGGUUUCCUAUGAUGCUCCUUUUCUCCAGACUGAACAAUCCCAAUUCCCUCAACUGCUUCUCAUAAGGCUCAUGCUCCAGACCCCUCACCAUCUUUGUUGCCCUUCUUUGAACACGCUCCAAGGCCUCAAUGUCUCUCUUACAGUGAGGGGCCCAAAACUGAACACAGUAUUCAAGGUGCAGCCUCACCAGUGCUGAAUACAGUCCUAUAAAGGACACAGAGGAGGUCUCAUCAAAGCAUAUAAACAUCUGAAGUGAGGAUGAAAUGAAGAUGGUGAUAGGAUCUUUUCAGUGGUGUCCAUUGACAAGACAAGAGGUAAUGAGCACAGACUGCUAAAGUGCUUUCCAACCUAAGCCAUUCUGUGCUUCUGUGAAAUACAAAAGAUACCAUCUAAACAUCAGGAAAUAGUACUGUGUGUGUGACAGAACACUGGAUCAGGUUAUAAGGAGAGGACAUGGAGUUUUCCUCCUUGGUGAUACUCAAAAGUCAUCCAAACAUGAUCCUGGGCAACUGGCUCUAACUGUUCUGAUUGCUGCAGAAUGCAAGGAUAACUGGAGGCAUUUCUGCUGUUAGAGUGGUGUCAGGAACAAGGAAAAUAAGUGAAAUGUCUCAAAGCUUGUCACAUUCUGGACUACUCCCAAGAUGAGGUGGCUCGGCCUUGUGUGAAGGCCCUGGCUUCUCCAGUGUUCAUUCUGACAACAGAUUCUUCAUGCUGAAGAAGAGUUUUCUGACAACAGACUCCUCAUGAAAAACAGGUUUCUGAAAGCAGAUUCCUCACGACCUGAGACCUGCAUACUGAAGAAGAACAAGAAGUUUUCUGACAUAAGAAGCCUCACAACCUGCCUCUCCCUCCUGGACUUGCUCUGCAUUCUACCUGCUUGCUUCCUAAGGUUGGCCUCUCUGCUGCUGCUCUCCCCCUGAGAAGGUGUCUGCCAUCAGAUCCCUCACUACGGAAGGUCUGCAUGCUGACAGACUCUCCAGGGCCUGUUAUGGGAGGCUUGCUGCUUCCUCCUGGACUUCUUCCUGGACCUACUCGGUACCUGCACCUUCUUGCUGCCCAAGACCAGCCAUGCUGCUGCUGCUCUUCCCCUGUGCUUUUGCCCCAGACCAUCAGAAUGUCAUGCAGUGGGACUGCUGCCAGAUCCUGGUGGUGACUAUCCCCACUUUACACAAUUCUUGCCUCUUUCUAUCUUUUCUAUCACCCGCCUUCCCUUCCCUAUCACCCUAAAUCAUCCGUCCUCCCCUUCCCCAUCUCCCUUAUUAAGAUUUGUAAUAAACUGGUCGGACCAACAUUUGAACCGUUGUUUCUUAAUCUCACGCCGGGUAUACAUAUAUCAAAGAACUUCCUCUCCCUCCUAUAAAUUGGAGCAAGACAGCAGGAUACCCUACCGUGAGAGUAUUACCUUCUUGGCAACACAGGAACAAUUUAGGAAAUAGAAUGAAUCAUUGGAAUUGUACAGCUAGAGGAGAUUAGGCCAUUCUUUGGAUGGCAUUAUUCAAGUAAAGUGGUAAUAGUUCAACAUAGGCUGAUUCUCUUAGAGGGGAGACUGAGUUGCAGAAAACUGAGGACACUUUAUUUCUGAAAGACAGUAUCCAGGGGCACAAAUGUACUUAUACUGCAAACCUGAACCAAGUGGAAACAAUAUGAAAUUUCGUAUUGAGAUGCUGUCUUUCUUUUGUUAAAAUACAGUCUGAGAUUUUGUUGUUACUUUUGUUGUACUAAUCAAGAAACACUUCAAAUGCAGAUCACGCAUUAAGUUUGACAAGCAAGGAAUUUUUUUCCAUCAUUUUAUGUUUCUUUUAAUUUCCCAAUCCAUGAAACAGGAGGAGAGAAGGUCUUUACCUGGUAUUUUAUGUGUGACUCAGUCUGAAGGUAAUGUCCAGAAAAGGUAGGUUAUGUUCAGAUAUAAGAAAAAAUUAUUGUCAUAAAAUUUCAGCAUCAAUUGUACAGAAUUCUGAAGUAACAAAUAGUACAAAGUUAGAUAGUCAGAACAUUUUUUUUUUCCUAAAUGAAUGUUAAUUUUCUAAGUAACAUUCAAAUGUAUUACAAUGGAUUUUUUCCCUUGAAUUGUUUGAUUAAUUUAAUUUGUACUGUUUACAUCUGAACAAAAAAAUAAAAUACAGCAGCAAAUCAGGUUAAAUGUGCUAUAUUUCAAAUAGAUGCAGAUUAACUUUUCUGAAUGAUUCGCUGACAUUAAAAAAUAAAAUGAUCAAUGCCAAAAUAAGACAAUUAUUUUAUUAUUUGGCAUAAUGUUGGUAAUACAAUCGUAAUCAAAAUAUCACAAAAUAGUUUAUUACAUAAUUACAGCGCAUUUUGUGUGUGUCUCCAUUCUUCCUCUAUGGGUGAAGUUUAAAUAUUCUAGAAAUGUGCCAAUUUUCAAACCACAGAAAAGUAAUUUCAUUUUUAUAUAGAAGUGUUAUUUUGCACUGAGGUUUUCUAAAACUGAUAUAAGAUAUUAUGUAAAUUAUAACAAGUUACAAAUCAAUGUAUUCAGAUGUAAUUUCCAUUCAAGAAAAAUGUGCAUCCCUUUUAAAUGUUAAGAAAGGCAUUUGAUGCCUCUGUGUACACAUAUCUCCUGCAGAUGCUUCACAGAGAAAUAUGGAGUGCUUCUUUGUUUUCUAUUUCAAAAGGCAGGAGACUAGAAAUAGAUUAAAGCAUGUGAUUUUCUUCUUUAUGGGACACUUUAAGUCAUUCUCUCUUCCUGAGCAACUUAAGAGAGUGUGGGGAAGGGAAGCAAGGCUGAACUUUUGCUUUGUUUUAACAACUUUUUUUUUUUUUUUUUUUUGCUUUGAUAGCUCUUUUGACAGUCUCUUCAUGACACAUACAGUUACCUAAGAGUGUAGAAAUUAUAAACUAAUAAUUUAUUUCUGUAUGUUGAGGAGAAGGAUUAAGACCAGAUAAUAUCUUAGUAUUCUAAGAUCAGUAACUUAAAUAGGCUGAUAUAAAUCAGGAACCUUUAAGAUACAAUUAAAAAAAAAAUCAGUUUAAAGAGAGCACUACAAGUGGAAGUUUGAGGGUAAUUCAUAUGAAAUUAUACAGGAAGAAAAGCUGUGCAUCUUAAAAGCUUGGAAAGAUUACAGCAUAAAUUUAGGAGUUCCUAUAAACAGGGACCAUAAGUUUCAAAUCUGUCUUUGACUAGAUCUCCAGAGGAAAAGACAGCUUCAGUAUGAUCAGAUUAGGCAAAUGUUGAGCAGUGUAGGUCAGUACUCAGAUAGUUGCAUUCUGUAUAAUUGCAUUGAUAAUGUUUGUUUAUAGCUGCACCUGAACAAUAGUUCCAAGGUAGAUGUGCAGGGAAAAUAUGCUUUUACUGUUUAUUUAUUAUAGAAUCAGAGAAUCAUUAAGUUUGGAAAAGACCUCUAAGAUCAUCUAAUAUGACCAUAUACCCAUCACCACCAUGUCCAUAUGUGUCAGAUGUAUGCCAUUCUAAAAUCUUAAGGGGUGGUGACUCAGCUUGUUCCAAUAUAUCACCUUUAUUUCUCAAUUUUUUUUUUCCUGACUUCCAACCUGAAUCUCCCCCGGCACAAUUUCAGACCAUUCCCUCUUGUCCUAUUGCUAGCUGCACAGGAGAAGAGGCUGACCCUCACCUCACUACAACCUCCUUUCAGAGAUUUUAGAGAGCUAGUAGGUCUCAUGAGCCUCCUUUUCUCCAGUCUAAACAAUCCCAGUUCCCUCAGCCUCUCCUCAUAAGGCCUGUGCUUCAAAACCUUCACCAGCUUCAUCAUCCUUCUUUGGGCAUUGUUUCUUCUUCAGAGCUCUGCCAGUAAGGCAGUGUUAUAACACAGGACUGUCCCUUGACAUUAACCAAGAAUCCUAGAUGAACUGAGAUAUUAAAAUCGUGGAUGAUUGAUGCUUACCCAGAAUCCUCACAAAGGACUGCCCUUGAGAUAAACAGAGAGCUUAAGGUAUUCAGCUAAUAAAAGCACAGUGCUUAUGGCAUCAGUUUAGCAAACUGAGAGCCAGGAAACGCUAAAGCUUAUAACUGAGAUUUGGCAAGCUAUUUACAUCAAACAAAAAACCUCCUAGUGGUCCACCCACAGUGCGAUCUGAUAGUAUCUUGUGCACUGACAUCUGUUCAGCAAGUUGGAAUUACUGAAAUUCUGGCAAAACAAAUGUUGGAGCUGUUAUGGUAAACAAGCAAGCUAGAGAUUCUGAGCCAAUAAUCCCUCCUAAGCUUGAUUGCUGUUGGGUUUUGGCAUAAUAACAAUGCAGACAACUUGAUUUUGAUAAUAUCAUUACAAAAUCAGUGCCAUUUUUUUCUAUUCUCCUUUCCAUGUCUAUUUGAAGUUGAUAACAUAAUUUAUAGUUAAUUUUUCAAAAACUC
rnacentral:lncRNA from 1 species